AGUAGUUUUCCUGUCAGAUCUGCAAUAAAAUUGACAUAGAUAUCAAGAUCAAGGGCAAAACACACAAAAUAAAAAUUAUUAGCCGAGAGAAAUUUGUCCAUCGGUAUUACUUGAAUGGCUUGUUAAUGUCUCGGAACUAAGGAUGUGCAGAAUUUUGAAUCUAAUUGAACAAUUAUAUCAAAUCAAUCAGAACUUUAUAGAGCCAAAUUUGUUAUAGGUAAAUUGGAUAUAAAAAGCCAAACAUUUAAGAUGGCAUAAUUAUGAUUAAAACCGAACUUUAUCACAGUUUUUAACAUAUCAAACCGAACUAAAUUAGAACAAAAAUAAAAUCAAAUUAAAUCAAAUUGGUUUGAUUCAAUUCAUCUUGGAUUUUUUUUAUUUAUUUUAAAUCUAAUUUCAGCUAUAUUUCUUAUUUUUAAUUUUAAUUUAAGACCUAAUAAUAAUUAGUUAGAAAAAAAAAACCAUUCAAUUCAUUUUUGGUUCUAACUAUUUUUUCUCUAAAAAUCAAACCAAU
rnacentral:misc_RNA from 1 species